rnacentral:tRNA from 1 species
AUUUAUAUAAUAUAAUAAGUAUAUUUGACUUCCAAUCAAAAAGUUUAAUUUUUUUUAGUAUAAAUA